UACGUAGGGUGCAAGCGUUAAUCGGAAUUACUGGGCGUAAAGCGUGCGCAGGCGGUGAUGUAAGACAGGUGUGAAAUCCCCGGGCUUAACCUGGGAACUGCAUUUGUGACUGCAUCGCUGGAGUGCGGCAGAGGGGGAUGGAAUUCCGCGUGUAGCAGUGAAAUGCGUAGAUAUGCGGAGGAACACCGAUGGCGGAAGGCAAUCCCCUGGGCCUGCACUGACGCUCAUGCACGAAAGCGUGGGGAGCAAACAGG
rnacentral:rRNA from 1 species